GAAGUUACCCUUGAAUCAGAUUUAUACUCAUGUCUGAUGGAAAUUGGUUUAUGCAGUUAUACUUCCUCUCCUUUUUAUGUAUUAGACAGGACCAUAAAUCUCCAUUCAUUCUCUUUCAUCUUUUUUUUGCUGCUCCGGUUUAUGCAGUUAAAGACUGGUUUAUGCCCGUCUGAUGGAAGAGUUAUCAGUUUUGCGUGCUUUCCGAGUUUGUGCUUUUUCUUGUCAAACAAUGUGAUAAGAGAGGGUUGUCCAAAAAAAUUAAUAAUAUAAAAACAGAAAGAACCACAACUAUAAGUACAGGAGCUAAUCCAAACCAAACAGAGUGCAAAAUACUUGUAGAAAAAAAUCACAAGUUCACAACCCAUAUGCUAGUUUAAAGACUCUUCCUUUGUAAGAGGGAUGCUCCAUUUGUGGUUGUGUAUGUGUGUGUAUAUAUAUAUUUAGUUUAGUUUAGAUUAUUAAUAAGUGAAAGUUCAGGGUACGAUGAAGGGUAUUUCGGUAAUUAUACCCGAUCCAACUGUUUUUCCUCCUUCUACACACAUCUACACAGAUCCUUUCUUCUACAUACAUCUACACAGGUCCUUUUUUCUCACUCUAAAACCUCUGCGACUGUCUAUCUUCGUCUUCAUCGUCAAUUCGUCUCUCUAGAAGUGUCCACCUUCGUCUUCACAGAAUUUUCAUGAACUCUAAAACGUUUGGGCUUUUUUCCAUUGUACUGUUGAGCUACUGUCUGCUGCUUCUUCCGAUUUUCUGGUGGUUAUGGAGUCGCCACUGGUGGACCACUGGCUUGGGGUUUGUGCUAUAACAAGGAAAUGAGUCCGAGCCAAGAUUACUGUGAUGAUUACUUCAAAUUAACCUACCCAUGCACUCCUGGAGCUCAAUAUUAUGGUCAUGGUGCCUUGCCUAUCUACUGAUACCUGAAGGAGAAUUGAAUGCAAAUCAGGAGAAGAUCUACAAAGUGAAUAUAUUCAUGAUCAACUUAAAGAGUUUGAGCUGCAUGAUCGUGUUGGAAAUUCAUAUUGUAGAAGUUAGAAUUGUUAGUCCAUUCUCAGCAGGUGAAUCCUGGUACUAUUAAUGUGGCCUUCACAAAACACACUCAAUGUCAAGUCCGAAAAAAACAUGGGGAUUGCAAUAGCUUGAUGGGCAGAUCUUGAUAGAUCAAGUGCCUAUGUGCAAGGAUUCAUAUAUGUGCAUGCCCGUCAAUUGCGCUUCAAUACGUAAGGAAGUGGAAGAAAAUUAUGCAAGUGUGAAUCAUACAUUCAGGUUGAGAUGAAAAAAACUUCAUUUAACAACUGUUUUAUUCUUCGAGUCAAUAAGCAAAAGGAGGACUAGAUUGGAGUGUGUUUUCGCACCUGAUAGUUUGGUACAAAAAUACUUUUAUAUUGUUUGGUUAACUCAAGCCUUUGAGGUUGUCUUUGUAAUGUGCAAUGUGGACUGCUAUAGCCACAAAUCAUGGUUCUUUAGGUGUUGUUUUAGUUUGCAGUUGUGCCAAAGUAAUGUUUCAUUCCAACAAUCAUUACUUGGACAAGUGAUGGCAACUUACAAUUAUGUUCUAUUGUGAUGCUAUAUUGUAAGCAAGACAAGGCUAUCCGGGAAUCAAAUAAAAAUUACAUCCUGCAUUUGUAUUUA